rnacentral:rRNA from 1 species
UUUUUUCUCUCUAUACGRGRRRGWASWMASMAGGAUUCCCCUAGUAACUGCGAGUGAAGCGGGAAAAGCUCAAAUUUAAAAUCUGGUGGUCUUUGGCCAUCCGAGUUGUAAUUUAGAGAAGCGUCUUCCGCGCUGGACCAUGCAUAAGUCUCCUGGAAUGGAGCGUCAUAGAGGGUGAGAAUCCCGUCUUUGGCAUGGACCCCCAGGGCUUCUGUGAUGCGCUCUCAAAGAGUCGAGUUGUUUGGGAAUGCAGCUCAAAAUGGGUGGUGAACUCCAUCUAAAGCUAAAUAUUGGCGAGAGACCGAUAGCGAACAAGUACCGUGAGGGAAAGAUGAAAAGCACUUUGGAAAGAGAGUGAAACAGUACGUGAAAUUGUUGAAAGGGAAACGCUUGAAGUCAGUCGCGUCGACCGAGACUCAGCCUUGCCUCGGCUUGGUGUACUUCUCGGCCCGACGGGUCAGCAUCAAUUUCGAACCUUGGAUAAUGGCAAGGGAAAGGUAGCACCUUUACAGGUGUGUUAUAGUCCUCUGUCGGAUGCAAGGGUUGGGAUUGAGGAACUCAGCACGCACCUCGUCGGUGUCGGGGCCUUGGCCUACGUUACGUGCUUAGGAUGCUGGCAUAAUGGCUUUAAACGACCCGUCUUGAAACACGGACCAAGGAGUCUAACAUGCACGCGAGUGUUCGGGUGGAAAACCCGUGCGCGUAAUGAAAGUAAAAGUUGGGACCUCUGUCGUGGAGGGCACCGACGCCCGGACCAGACCUUCUGUGACGGCUCUGCGGUAGAGCGUGUAUGUUGGGACCCGAAAGAUGGUGAACUAUGCCUGAAUAGGGUGAAGCCAGAGGAAACUCUGGUGGAGGCUCGUAGCGAUUCUGACGUGCAAAUCGAUCGUCAAAUUUGGGUAUAGGGGCGAAAGACUAAUCGAMYYMKMURKGCSUGGGU